CUACAGCUGAGACGGCGGCGGGGAGGUUGAGGCCGCGGAGCAGCCGUAGGGGCCUCGCAGCUCUUUACUGCACGCCCUGUUGAAAGGGAAGGAGCUGGAGGACCACUUGCCUCAUCGCACAGGGGCGGGGCUGGCGCUUGUCGCGUGUCUGGGGCGAGACCAGUUGGGGGGGGGGGGGAUAGCCAUUGAGAGCGUGAGAUGCAGGGGUCAAGGAGUUGGGAAGACUAGCUAAGGAGGCGCAUCCAGGGUGGAUUUGGGGGACAGGAGGAGUGAGCGCGUCUGGUAUGGGAUGCCGGGGAAAGGAAGGGGGCCUACCACAGAUGCUGAGUAGAUCUGUGAAUGAUUCCUUGGAGGCACCUUCUUCUCAUUUGCCCUUUUGUUUGCCAACAACAGAGUCCUCAUGGUCUCUAUUCAAGUUCUGGAAGCUUUGCCUUUGGGUGAGGUUAAUUAGCGACUGCACUAUAGAACUGUCCAAGGCCUUUUCUGGUAGUGGGCACCAACGUGGGGGGAUAUGUCAGAAAACAAGAAGCCGCUUCUGGGCUUCAUGCACAAACUCCCAAGUGGGCCUGCACCUGCGAACUCAGGGAAGACUCACUGCCCUCUGUGCAUGGGGCUUUUCAAAGCCCCCAGACUCUUGCCUUGUUUGCACACAGUUUGCACCAGUUGUCUGGAGAAGCUGGAACCUUUCUCAGUAGUGGACCUCCGAGGGGCAGACUCUGACACAAGCUCUGAAGGCUCAGUGUUCCAGGAACACAAGCCUCAGAAUCUUCAGCGGCAGAUCGGCAUCCUGUGUCCGGUAUGUGAUGCUCAGGUGGACCUGCCCAUGGGUGGAGUGAAGGCUUUAACCAUCGACCACUUGGCCCUGAAUGAUGUGAUGCUGGAGAGUCUGCGCGGGGAAGGCCAGGGCCUGGUGUGUGACCUGUGCAGCGACAGGGAAGUGGAGAAGAGGUGUCAGACCUGCAAAGCCAAUCUCUGCCACUUUUGCUGUCAGGCUCAUAGGGCUCCCCCUUCACGGUGACCGUGAGGAGGAAGCACCGCCCACACCCAGGAGUUUUUCAUUGCUGCACUUUCUGCUCCAGCGGAGGCCGGAAAACUGCACGCUGUGCCUGUGGAGGCACCAUGCCAGGUGGAUACCUAGGCUGUGGCCAUGGGCACAAAGGCCACCCAGGUCGUCCCCACUGGUCUUGCUGUGGGAAGUUUACUGAGAAGUCUGAAUGCACAUGCACAAGUGGGCAGAACACACCAAGGAGUCUGCUAAGAACUGUGGCACUGUGAUGGUCUCCUGCGCCUGAGAUCACCCUGGUAAAGCUGCAGAUUUCCAGAGGACCCCAGAGCCUCAUUGAUUCUGAAGACUGAUAAAAUUAAAAAUGAAGUGCCUUAUCUUACACUAGAA